rnacentral:rRNA from 1 species
UACGUAGGGGGCUAGCGUUGUCCGGAAUCAUUGGGCGUAAAGAGCGUGUAGGCGGUCCGGUAAGUCCGCUGUGAAAGUCGGGGGCUCAACCCUCGAAUGCCGGUGGAUACUGUCGGGCUAGAGUGCGGAAGAGGCGAGUGGAAUUCCUGGUGUAGCGGUGAAAUGCGCAGAUAUCAGGAGGAACACCUAUUGCGAAGGCAGCUCGCUGGGACGUCACUGACGCUGAGGCGCGAAAGCGUGGGGAGCGAACAGG